CAGUCGCCGCGGGAAUACGAAGGGUGCAAGCGUUACCCGGAAUUACUGGGCGUAAAGCGUGCGUAGGUGGUGGUUUAAGUCCGUUGUGAAAGCCCUGGGCUCAACCUGGGAAUUGCAGUGGAUACUGGGUCACUAGAGUGUGGUAGAGGAUAGUGGAAUUUCCGGUGUAGCAGUGAAAUGCGUAGAGAUCGGAAGGAACAUCUGUGGCGAAGGCGACUAUCUGGGCCAACACUGACACUGAGGCACGAAAGCGUGGGGAGCAAACAGGAUUAGAUACCCCUGUAGUCCCUGUCUCUUAUAC
rnacentral:rRNA from 1 species